ensembl:lncRNA
CAUAAUCGAACCGUAGACACUGAUUAUUGCAUCAUUUUCAUAAGAGACAUGCAUCUUAACUUGCAUAAUUUCUGGUAUCGCUGCAGAGUUAGCUCAGGAAAGAAUCUGGGCCCAAAUGUAUGCAUGCCUUGGCGCUCAGAAAGAAGCAGUUGUGGCUGGGGAUAGAUUUUCCUCCACUGGAUGCUUUUAGGUAGAGCCUGCAUCCUUGUCUGUGAUGAGUAAUUGAUUCUCACUUACCCAGCACCUCCAAAUCAAUUUUUUACCUCCUUUUUCACUCCCAUUCACCACCAUCUUUUCUCCAGCUCUCGAGUUGCUCCCUCUGAGUCCCUUUGGCCUGGUGCGUGGAGCCAGGAGCUGGACUCAAUGACUCUUGUGGGUCUCUUCCUACUUGUGAUAAUCUAUGGUUCUCUGAUUUUGUCUCUGUGAAGGCUGCUGUUUGAGCUGCUUGUUACUGAGGGAGCUAGGGCAGCAUGGCUGUCUCUUAAAUGCUUACAGUUUGGUGAGAUGGAUCUUAUCUUGGAAAAGAUGAUGGCAGAGACUUGCUUCAUUUUGUGUCCCUUCUCUUUGUGCUUCUGAGUUAGGUAAGUUGGACAUCUCGCUUGCGAGAGGGGUCUUUGAGCCUCUCAUGUCUGCUGUUCAUAGUCAGCCUUAAAUGCCUGCCCUUUUUCAGCAGGCAUCUUCAGGGGGUGACAACUCCGGAAGAGCAGUUACAUAUCUGUUGUGUCUGCUGCUCUGUAGUGGCUGCCACCAUGGAUGUCCCCAGGCUAGUUAUCCUGAGCUGGUGGGAUUUGCACACUCAGAGUGGCUUUGGUUGGUUCAUUUUAGUUUUGUCUUCUGUGCAUCCCUUGUUCUUCUGGCACCAGGUCUUAGCCCAAAAGAUAUUACUGUUUUCAGACCUUUUGUUAAAUAUAAUGGCAACCAGUAGCGGUAUGUUUUUCUUUGAUGUCAUAAUAAUGCCAAAAUAGAAGUAGGUUUUGGUUCUACCCCUUGUUUGCAGUAUGGCCUUAUGGUGGGACCCUGAGUGGCCUGGGGCUUUGAAGUGGAUCUGCCCGUACAUUCUCCUUUUGUAUCAGUGCAUUCAUUUUUGUUUGUUUGCUUCUUUUUGCACAUGAUGCAUGACGUGAGCUCUGAUUUUGAUUACGCCAUUUCAAAACCCGUGGACUCAUUUCCUUGAGGAUGCCCAGAGUUCACCGUUCCCAAGAAUCCUUCUUCUCACCUCGUCUUUCAGGCUCUUUCCAGAAUGGUGAACUUCAGAACAUUUUUCUCCUGAAAAUGCUGCAUUUGAGCUCAGAUAACUAACGUGAAGUGCUAUUAUUGGAGAAAGCUGGCAAGCCUGCCUAGCAGGGAAGUAAGGAGGAGAAUCCGUGCGCAGGGAAAGAACAAUACAUUUUCUCUUCAUGUGAAGUGAUUUUUUCAGCCCAGGACUAUAGUGACAGACUAAUAAUAGAACACAGUUAUGAAAUGUAUCACCUGUUUCCAGAAGAUUCUGGGAAAGUUACCGUCUAACUUCAGAAGAUGCCUGUUGUCCUGACGGAUCCCAGCCCCUGGUUACUUACCCACCAUGACUCUCUUUUAAACUUUAUAAGCUCAAAAGAAUGAAAUACAAACUUUGGGCAAAGUCAGAAGACCUGUCAGCAUGUCCUCCCUCCCCUAGUCCUACAUCCUAUGGAGAACUCUCACCUUGCCCAGCGUUACAUAUCAUGAACUGUGAUGCGGGAGUGGCUCAGGCCCCAGCCCACGCUCUUCUCUGUGCGUUUGAGAUAGCAGCAGCAACACGUUGGUAUCCACAUCCACGCAUGAGCUCUCUGCUGGGAGGAUGCAGGCCGGACAAAGGCUGCAUGCACAGAGCGAGGUCGGCACAGGCCUCCCAUCCUGGGAAUGCAAUCCAGGUAAGAGAUGCUGGACAUCCUCCGCUGCCUCCCAGCUGGGCACCCGUGUGCUGCUGAGGGACACGGGCACCCCGGGGCAGCUGUAAUUUUACCCGGAGCUGCUCAGGACUGGCGCUAAGAGCCGUGUGAGUGGCGUCCUGCUGUAAUCCUUUCAGCCUCUUGCACUGUGCCGAUUUCUGCAAGGGAGGGAGCUGGCUCACUGGUUCUGCAUCUUCUAGAAGAAAAAACAGAGAGAAAAAAAUCUUUUUUUUUUUUUUUUUCAAUCCUUGCUUUUCUACCUCUUCGAUGCCUACUGUAUUGUGUAGCAGUGCAUUUUGCAUUUUCUCUUUUUC